UGAGUGCGAGCUGCUACGGCAGCGAAGUUGGUGACGUCAUGCUUCCAAGAAAAGCCCUAUACCCGUUAAGGCAUCAUGGCCUGUACCCGAAACCGACACAGGUGGGGUGGUAGAGAAUACCGAGGGGCGCGAGGUAACUCUCUCUAAGGAACUCGGCAAAAUGGCCCCGUAACUUCGGGAGAAGGGGUGCCACCGCAAGGUGGUCGCAGUGAAGAGGCCCAGGCGACUGUUUACCAAAAACACAGGUCUCCGCUAAGUCGCAAGACGAUGUAUGGGGGCUGACGCCUGCCCAGUGCCGGAAGGUUAAGGAAGCUGGUCAGCGCAAGCGAAGCUAGCGACUGAAGCCCCGGUAAACGGCGGCCGUAACAAUAACGGUCCUAAGGUAGCGAAAUUCCUUGUCGGGUAAGUUCCGACCCGCACGAAAGGCGUAACGAUCUGGGCGCUGUCUCGGAGAGAGGCUCGGCGAAAUAGAAUUGUCUGUGAAGAUGCGGACUACGUGCACCCGGACAGAAAGACCCUAUGAAGCUUUACUGUAGCUUGGUAUUGUGCCCGGGCUCGCAAUGCGCAGGAUAGGUGGGAGGCUUUGAUCAUCGGCUUGCGGGUCGAUGUGAGCCAACGGUGAGAUACCACUCUUUGCGAGCUAGGGUUCUAACGGCCACCCGUCAUCCGGGGGCCGGACAGUACCUGGUGGGCAGUUUGACUGGGGCGGUCGCCUCCUAAAAGGUAACGGAGGCGCGCAAAGGUUUGCUCAGGCUGGUUGGAAAUCAGCCGACGAGUGUAAAAGCAGAAGCAAGCUUGACUGUGAGACCAACAAGUCGAACAGGGAGGAAACUCGGCUUUAGUGAUCCGACGGUUCUGAGUGGAAGGGCCGUCGCUCAACGGAUAAAAGUUACUCUAAGGAUAACAGGCUGAUCUCCCCCAAGAGUUCACAUCGACGGGGAGGUUUGGCACCUCGAUGUCGGCUCAUCGCAACCUGGGGCUGAAGUCGGUCCCAAGGGUUGGGCUGUUCGCCCAUUAAAGCGGUACGCGAGCUGGGUUCAGAACGUCGUGAGACAGUUCGGUCCAUAUCCGGUGCACGCGCAGGAAUAUUGAGAGGAUUUCUCCCUAGUACGAGAGGACCGGGAGGAGCGCACCUCUGGUGUACCAGUUAUCGUGCCAACGGUAAACGCUGGGUAGCCAUGUGCGGAGUGGAUAGCCGCUGAAAGCAUCUAAGUGGGAAGCCCACCUCAAGAUGAGUAUUCCCAUGGCGUAAGCCAGUAAGGUCACGGGAAGAACACCCGUUGAUAGGCUCUAUGUGGAAGCGCAGUAAUGCGUGAAGCAGAGGAGUACUAAUAGACCGAGGGCUUGACC
rnacentral:rRNA from 1 species